rnacentral:rRNA from 1 species
AGCAGCCGCGGUAAUUCCAGCUCCAAUAGCGUAUAUUAAAGUUGUUGCAGUUAAAAAGACUCGUAGUUGAAUUUCGGGAUCAGUACACCGGUCGUGCCUCCGGUAUGUACUGGUGUUACUGGUUCCUACCUUCUGACGAACCGUCAUGUCAUUAAUUUGGUGUGGCGGGGAAUCAGGACUGUUACUUUGAAAAAAUUAGAGUGUUUAAAGCAGGCUCGCGCUUGAAUACAUUAGCAUGGAAUAAUGAAAUAGGACGCUCGAUCCUAUUUUGUUGGUUUCUAGGAUUGACGUAAUGAUUAAUAGGGAUAGUUGGGGGCAUUAGUAUUCAAUUGUCAGAGGUGAAAUUCUUGGAUUUAUUGAAGACUAACUACUGCGAAAGCAUUUGCCAAGGAUGUUUUCAUUUAAUCAAGAACGAAAGUUAGGGGAUCGAAGACGAUCAGAUACCGUCGUAGUCUUAACCAUAAACUAUGCCGACUAGGGAUCGGAUGAUGUUAUUUUUAAUGACUCAUUCGGCGCCUUA